rnacentral:rRNA from 1 species
AUUGAACGCUGGCGGCAUGCCUUACACAUGCAAGUCGAACGGCAGCACGGGUGCUUGCACCUGUUGUCGAGUGGCGAACGGGUGAGUAAUACAUCGGAACAUGUCCUUUAGUGGGGGAUAGCCCGGCGAAAGCCGGAUUAAUACCGCAUACGAUCUACGGCUUAAAUCGGGGGACCUUCGGGCCUCGCGCUGUUGGGUUUGCCGUUGGCUGAUUAGCUAGUUGGUGGGGUAAAGUCCUUCCAAGGCGACGAGCAGUAGAUGGUCUGAGAGGACGAUAGGCGACACUGGGACUGAGACAGGGACAAGACGACUAAGGGAGGCAGCAGUGGGGAAUGUGGGGCAAUAGGCGAAAGCAUGAUACAGCAAGGCGGAGUGUGUGAAGAAGGCCUUCGGGUUGUAAAGAACUUUUGUCCGGAAAGAAAUCCUUGGGCCUAAUACGGACGGGGGAUGACGGUACCGGAAGAAUAAGCACCGGCUAACUACGUG